rnacentral:miRNA from 1 species
GAAACCGGGCCACUACACUUGGUAUAUACUUGAGAAAUUUAACAGGUGGGUAGGAAGGUACAUGCCCGGCGUC